UUAAUCCUGUGCUAAUGGCUUUAUUGCAGGGCACUGAGGUGGAAUAAGGCAUCCUCCUGCAAAUGCCUGGGCUGCUGUGCCUGAUGCCCUGCUGCAUAAUGCAGCCACCCAGGACCAGAAUCACCUGGAAACUCGGAAACAUGGCAGUAUCUCCAGUUAGAGAUGACUAUGAUUUUUGGAAGACUCUCUUCAAGCGAAGUAUCUCUCCCAGCUUCCAAAAUGCAGAGCAUCACUGCUCCAAGGAAAGCUGGGCAGAUGAGGAGUGCUGGUCCCAUGUCAUGCCAAGAUCACUCAAGCAGUUUGUCAAGCCCCACCGUAACAGGCUAGCAAAACAUGU